AGUCGAACGGCAGCGGGGGUGCUUGCACCUGCCGGCGAGUGGCGAACGGGUGAGUAAUGCAUCGGAACAUGCCCAGUCAUGGGGGAUAACUACGCGAAAGCGUAGCUAAUACCGCAUACGCCCUGAGGGGGAAAGUGGGGGAUCUUAGGACCUCACGUGAUUGGAGUGGCCGAUGUCAGAUUAGCUAGUUGGUGGGGUAAAGGCUCACCAAGGCGACGAUCUGUAGCGGGUCUGAGAGGAUGAUCCGCCACACUGGGACUGAGACACGGCCCAGACUCCUACGGGAGGCAGCAGUGGGGAAUUUUGGACAAUGGGCGCAAGCCUGAUCCAGCCAUGCCGCGUGAGUGAAGAAGGCCUUCGGGUUGUAAAGCUCUUUCGCAAGGGAAGAAAACGGCAGGGUUAAUACCUUUGUCGGAUGACGGUACCUUGACAAGAAGCACCGGCUAACUACGUGCCAGCA
rnacentral:rRNA from 1 species